rnacentral:rRNA from 1 species
AGAGCGAACGCUGGCGGCAGGCCUAACACAUGCAAGUCGAACGCGUGUAGCAAUACACGAGUGGCAGACGGGUGAGUAACACGUGGGAACGUACCUUUCGGUUCGGAAUAACUCAGGGAAACUUGUGCUAAUACCGGAUACGCCUUUACGGGGAAAGAUUUAUCGCCGAAAGAUCGGCCCGCGUCUGAUUAGCUUGUGGUGAGGUAACGGCUCACCAAGGCGACGAUCAGUAGCUGGUCUGAGAGGAUGAUCAGCCACAUUGGGACUGAGACACGGCCCAAACUCCUACGGGAGGCAGCAGUGGGGAAUAUUGGACAAUGGGCGAAAGCCUGAUCCAGCCAUGCCGCGUGAGUGAUGAAGGCCCUAAGGGUUGUAAAAGCUCUUUCGGGCGGGGACGAAUAAGUGACGGUACCCGCAGAAGAAGCCCCGGCUAACUCGUGCCAGCAGCCGC